GAGAGCUAAUGGUCAAAACAGCUGAAACAGGUGGUAACGCGGGCCAGGACUCUGCUGUGGACAAUGGUAGAGACAACAAACCGGACAUGUACAGUAUUUUAACGUUUGGGCUGGUGCCAAGUGGAUGAGAACAUCGCGGUGGAUGAAUGGCAAAGAGGCAAGACUGUCGUUCCAGCUCAAAAUAUAACUUCUGAAUCUGCGAGUACAUGAGGAGAUCCAUUUUAGCCACUUGGGCCUUUUGAAGAGACCACAGAGGAUCAGUGCACCAGGAGUUCCUGUCAAAGUUUAACUGAGAGCUGAGAGCGAGGCCCCCGGGAGAGGAAGGACGGUGGAAAUCUUUAAAGAAAUUUUGACGGAGAGAAAGCAGAAGGGGGAGUAAAAGGCAUGUGAGUCAACUCAAGAGU